GAGUGUAAGUUCACCAUACUCCUCCAUCCAGACUCCUCCUCCUUCUCUUCCCUGUGGAGGCCUCCUCAUCGUCCCGCCUCCUCUUCCUCAGGUGAUCAGGGUUAGGGUGGAGCUGGACUGGGCUCCUCCUUAGUUACUGAGGAACUAAAAAGGUUCACCGCGCCUUUACUGGUAAACUGUCUCAUCUCUAUAUGUCAAAUCUAAAUGAGAAAUUCUGUUCAUUUUAUCAGUCAAUAAAUCCGAACCAAGGUGAUUUAAACUAAAUGAUACCACGUGUGUGUAAAGGUAAAGGGGAGUUUACCUGAAAUACACUGCAUGUGUUACACUCGUCCGUAAACGGGCAGAAAAGUCGUUAAACAAAAUCACGAGUGCAGUUUUCUCGGUCAUCCGUUUAUUCCGAGCACAACACAACAACAGGAACUGCCGCCGAUUUUUCCUGCCAGAAAACGUAGGUGAAGACAAAGAUAAUCAAUCGUCACCUAACAGAUCAAGACCUUUUAAUGGAUGACAGAUAAAAAAAUACCUACAAUAAGCAUGAAAUAAACAAUGAACCUCUUUGUGAUGUCGGUUAAAGCAACAGCACAUUGUGUAUAGACAAAACAUGUUAAUGUGACGGGCGGUAAAUCAAAAUGAGACACACACGAAUUAUUACAUUUUUACAAAAAAGUAUGUUUUUAUUUUUUAUUUUUUAAAUCUUAUGUAAAUAUUGACUCAAAAUAGUAUGUUAGUCUUUAUAAAUAGUAUUUUCUCAUUUAACAUCAUGGUGAGAGUACUUGAAUUAAUGGUCUUAAGAUUUGGAAACACACUUUUGCACAUUCAGACUGACUCUGUUAACAAGUUACGUAACAUUACUGCUCUUUUGGGUAGAAUUGUUUUUUAAUUGGCCAAGGCUUCGGUAGGAGUCUCGUUAUUUUGAUUAACUUAGCCGCUCAGGGCUUCUAUAAACAUCGUUGUGUGAAGAUAUAUAAUGUUUCUGUCUUUUCUCUUUAAUGAUCUCUGGACCCCCUGGAUGGGAACCACCGACCUGAGCCCCCCAAAAAGCCAUGUCCGGCCCUGGAUGUGGGUUUGGUUUUCCCACCGCCGAGCGGCUCGGUGUUCAGAGGCGCGCUGGAGGCCACUCAGAGCGGAGCAGCCGUCCACCGGUCUCCGGCCUGGUAAACCGACACCUGUCCGCCACAUUCACCACCUUCCUCCUCCGCCUCCUCCUCCUCCUCCUCCUCCUCGGUGUGUUUGCCGGAGGUGUGAGCUCGGUCCUCGGGUAUGAAGAACAAACACAACCAACAGGUGAAGGCAGCGGCUCCGGACCGACUCGACAUGUCGAGCUUCGAGGUGUCUCUCCAGCAGCUCAAUGAUCUGUUGACAGACGACAGCGGCUUCUACAGCUGGCCGACCAAACACUUCCACGAGGUUUACCCGAGGAUUUACGUCGGCAAUGCGUUUGUGGCGACGAACGUGAUGCGUCUGAAGCGUCUGGGCGUCACCCACAUCCUGAACGCAGCGGAGGGAAACUCCUUCAUGCACGUCAACACCAACAACGAGUUCUACGCUGGCACGGGCGUCAUCUACCACGGGAUACCAGCCAGCGACACCGACCACUUCGACAUCAGCGUUUACUUCGAAGAGGCGGCAGAUUUCAUCGAGAAGGCGCUGGCAUACAAAAAUGGAAAAGGUAAAGUGUACGUUCAUUGCAGGGAAGGCUACAGCCGCUCGCCAACCUUAGUCAUAGCCUACCUGAUGCUUCGCCAGAACAUGGACGUCCACACCGCUCUGGCCAUGGUGCGGCAGAAAAGAGAAAUCGGACCCAACGACGGCUUCCUGCGGCAGCUCUGUCGGCUCAGCCAGAGGCUGGCUGCUGAGGGAAAGCUCUGGAACAAGUGAGGCACGCGGCGAGGCAGACGGAUUGUCUGUAAGAGAGAGCAAAUGUAUGGCUUAAUGGCACAUCACUUUGUUUCACUUGCUCUACAGCUUCAACAAGCCGCAGCUGUCUCCAGAGAUGGAAAGCAACGCCAAUGCCAAUCUCGUCUCUAUCGCGUCUUUUGUUCUAUGCUAACUUGCUAACUUCAUUAGAACAAAGACUGUAAAAUAAGUGUAUUUCCCCCAACGUGGAACUAAACGUCUGGAUAAUGGUAAUAUUCUUCACUCACGGCCUGCCGUAGCUGCUGAGGCUAGAUGACCUGUGACCACACGAGUGAAACCUCCGAUUGUAAUUCAAACACUGCCACAAUGUGUGUUUGCUAGUAACCUCAACAUGUAGGAUCACUUCCGAGUCGACACAUUUUUGCACAUUAGUGUGUGUUUUUGUCUGAGUAUAGACAGUUUUAUAUUGCAUGCUUUGUAAUAUGUAUGUGAGCCAAAGAGUCGUUUAUAUUCCUUUGUUAGCACAGCUGUGUAACUACAGUAUGCGUAUUCAUAGUGUGCAUUAUUCAAUGUGCAUUACACAGUAUGUCACAAUGUGCAUUAUUGAGCCUGUGACUUUUGAAUCAUCGUGUGCAUUACCUAGUAGGAUGUAAUGUAGUUGUUGGCGUCAGUAGGCUUUCAUUGAGUCUCAAGAUGAUGACACUGCUUAUAUGAAGUGCACUUUAUCCAAUGACACUGGUGAUUGUUGUUGCUCUUUUCAUACAUUCAGAAAUAAACUGUGAAAAAUGA